rnacentral:lncRNA from 1 species
CCCCACUGCCCUGUAAAUACACAGUGGACAAGAAAUUGUGUAUAAACUUGUUUAUUCUUGUUCUGUCUUUUUAGGAUUAUUUGAUAAAGGUGCUGCUGAAAGACUGGCAUCUGUAGAAGAACAGAGAAUAAGUUGUGUCUGCAGUGCUCCACAGAGAGAAGAAGCUGCCCAAGAAUGGAAAGGAAGAAAUAUAUCACAUCAUCUGUCUGUCCACAGGCUUUCCUUUGGGCUUAUGGAGAUUUCCUAGUGGUAAUUAUUUCCCAUUGACUCAGACCAAAGGACAUGCGAACACCUAACAAACAACUCUUUCAGCUUUGUGGGCCAGCUGAACUGCAAUAUAGAACUGAAUCAUGUCCUGGAAACUGGUUCUGUCCUGUCCUUUUCCUGUUAGUAUUCAGGUGAACUUGUGAAAUAAUGACUGUGUGUAAGAA